UGAAUAUUGCAUGUCUGCAAUUCACUGACAAAGCUAUGCCCAUACGUUUUGGUGAAGACACAAGCCAUUCCAGACGAACACCAUGCACAGAAUGUCAUAAACCACAGCUCUGCACUGACUUUCAUUCUUUUGAUUUUUAUAUCAAACAAACACGUACUCUUUCACUUCCGUGUCUGUGCAUAGAAAUAAGAAACCGUAUUUAUAACAGA